rnacentral:rRNA from 1 species
GUGGUAAUGCCGGAUGCUCCGACUCCUCGCAUGGGGUGUCGGGAAAGAUUUCAUCGGUAUGGGAUGGGGUCGCGUCCUAUCAGGUAGUCGGCGGGGUAACGGCCCACCGAGCCUACGACGGGUAGCCGGCCUGAGAGGGCGACCGGCCACAUUGGGACUGAGAUACGGCCCAGACUCCUACGGGAGGCAGCAGUGGGGAAUAUUGCACAAUGGGCGCAAGCCUGAUGCAGCGACGCCGCGUGCGGGAUGACGGCCUUCGGGUUGUAAACCGCUUUUGAUCGGGAGCAAGCCUUCGGGUGAGUGUACCUUUCGAAUAAGCACCGGCUAACUACGUGCCAGCAGCCGCGGUAAUACGUAGGGUGCAAGCGUUAUCCGGAAUUAUUGGGCGUAAAGGGCUCGUAGGCGGUUCGUCGCGUCCGGUGUGAAAGUCCAUCGCUUAACGGUGGAUCUGCGCCGGGUACGGGCGGGCUGGAGUGCGGUAGGGGAGACUGGAAUUCCCGGUGUAACGGUGGAAUGUGUAGAUAUCGGGAAGAACACCA